UACGAAGGGGCUAGCGUUGCUCGGAAUCACUGGGCGUAAAGCGCACGUAGGCGGACUCUUAAGUCGGUGGUGAAAUCCUGGAGCUCAACUCCAGAACUGCCUCCGAUACUGCGAGUCUCCGAGUCCGGGAGAGGUGAGUGGAACUGCGAGUGUAGAGGUGAAAUUCGUAGAUAUUCGCAAGAACACCAGUGGCGAAGGCGGCUCACUGGCCCGGUACUGACGCUGAGGUGCGAAAGCGUGGGGAGCAAACAGG
rnacentral:rRNA from 1 species